UCUGUUGCUUUCUAUAUAAAGCUACUGCUGGAACACCAGGAUGCGAUUGCCCCUGAAAAAAAUGACUUACUGAACGAAUUGUUGGGGGUCCUGGGAGAGGUCCCUACUGUGGAGUCUUUUCUUGGAGAAGGAGCAGUUGAUCCCAAUGACCCUAACAAGACAAAUACACUAAAUCAGCUCUCAAAGACUGAGAUUUCCCUUUACCUGACAAGCAAAUAUGAUAUAGGGGAUGGAGAAGCCAUAGAUGGCCGAAGCCUCAUGAUAAAG